GGCGUCCCUAACACAUGCAAGUCGAACGAGAAAGGGGAGCAAUCCCUGAGUACAGUGGCGUCCGGGUGAGUAACACGUGGGUAAUCUGCCCUCUGGUGGGGAAUAACCCUGGGAAACCGGGGCUAAUACCGCAUGACUCCGCGAGGAGAAAGUCGAAAGACGCCGGAGGAGGAGCCCGCGGCCGAUUAGCUAGUUGGUGAGGUAACGGCUCACCAAGGCCAAGAUCGGUAGCCGGCCUGAGAGGGCACACGGCCACACUGGCACUGAAAUACGGGCCAGACUCCUACGGGAGGCAGCAGUGGG
rnacentral:sRNA from 1 species